rnacentral:rRNA from 1 species
AAUUUUUAACGGCCGCGGUACUCUGACCGUGCAAAGGUAGCAUAAUCAUUUGCCCUAUAAUUGAGGGCUAGUAUGAAUGGUUUGACGUGAGCAAAGCUGUCUCUUUUAGAUUAAGUAGAACUUAACUUACAGGUGAAGAUGCCUGUAUUAAAUUGAUAGACAAGAAGACCCUAUCGAGCUUUAAAGAAAUAUUUAGAAUAAAAUCGCCUAGCGUAAAGGACAUUUAACUAGAUAAGAUUUUGGUUGGGGCGACUAAGGAAUAAAAAAAGCUUCCUCUAUUUUAAAAGUGCUUACAAGCAGUGAUCCAAAUUUAUUGAUCAAAGAAAUUAGUUACCGUAGGGAUAACAGCAUAAUCUUUUUUGAGAGCUCAUAUCGAAAAAAAGGUUUGUGACCUCGAUGUUGGACUAGAGUUUCCGAAAGAUGCUGAAGUCUUUGAAGG